rnacentral:lncRNA from 1 species
CCUCGAACCUUGGGCCCACGUGCAUUCUCUCAGGCGACCUUUUCGCCAAAGUGAUGCAUCAAGUCACCGAGACCACGUGCCCUUUUAGAUGCCCGGGCCCACGUGCAUUCUCUUAGGUGCAUCUCACCAAAGCGAUGCAUCAAUUCGCCGAGCCCACGUGCCCUUUUAGAUGCCAGCCUCUGUCACCGAGCCACGUGCAUUCUCUUAGGUGCAUCUCACCAAAGCGAUGCAUCAAUUCGCCGAGCCCACGUGCCCUUUUAGAUGCCAGCCUCUGUCACCGAGCCACGUGCAUUCUCUCAGGCGACCUUUUCGCCAAGGUGACAUAUUCAACCACUGAACUCACGUGCAU